rnacentral:rRNA from 1 species
UACGUAGGUGACAAGCGUUGUCCGGAUUUACUGGGCGUAAAGAGCGCGCAGGCGGUCGAUCAAGUCGAGUGUGAAAGCCCCCGGCUCAACUGGGGAGGGUCAUUCGAUACUGAUCGACUCGAAGGCAGGAGAGGGUAGUGGAAUUCCCGGUGUAGUGGUGAAAUGCGUAGAUAUCGGGAGGAACACCAGUGGCGAAGGCGACUACCUGGCCUGUUCUUGACGCUGAGGCGCGAAAGCUAUGGGAGCAAACGGG